AUAUCAAUAAGCGGAGGAAAAGAAACCAACAGGGAUUGCCUCAGUAACGGCGAGUGAAGCGGCAAGAGCUCAAAUUUGAAAUCUGGCCCCUUCGGGGUCCGAGUUGUAAUUUGGAGAGGAUGCUUCGGGUACGGCCCCCGUCUAAGUGCCCUGGAACGGGCCGUCAUAGAGGGUGAGAAUCCCGUCUGGGACGGGUGGCCGGGCCCGUGUGAAGCUCCUUCGACGAGUCGAGUUGUUUGGGAAUGCAGCUCUAAAUGGGUGGUAAAUUUCAUCUAAAGCUAAAUAUUGGCCGGAGACCGAUAGCGAACAAGUAGAGUGAUCGAAAGAUGAAAAGCACUUUGAAAAGAGAGUUAAACAGCACGUGAAAUUGUUGAAAGGGAAGCGCUUGCGACCAGACUCGCCCGGGGAGGCUCAGCCGGCACUCGUGCCGGUGCAUUCCCCCCCGGGCGGGCCAGCGUCGGUUUGGGCGGUCGGUCAAAGGCCCCCGGAAUGUGUCGCCCUCCGGGGCGUCUUAUAGCCGGGGGUGCAAUGCGGCCAGCCUGGACCGAGGAACGCGCUUCGGCUCGGACGCUGGCGUAAUGGUCGUAAACGACCCGUCUUGAAACACGGACC
rnacentral:rRNA from 1 species